rnacentral:rRNA from 1 species
GGAGGGUGCAAGCGUUAAUCGGAAUUACUGGGCGUAAAGCGCGCGUAGGCGGCUAAGUAAGUCGGAUGUGAAAGCCCUGGGCUCAACCUGGGAAUUGCAUUCGAUACUGCUUGACUAGAGUAUGGUAGAGGGAAGUGGAAUUUCCGGUGUAGCGGUGAAAUGCGUAGAUAUCGGAAGGAACACCAGUGGCGAAGGCGACUUCCUGGGCCAGUACUGACGCUGAGGUGCGAAAGCGUGGGGAGCAAACAGGGAUUAGAUACCCUGGUAGUCCACGCCGUAAACGAUGAGAACUAGAUGUUGGGAGGGUUACCUCUCGGUGUCGCAGCUAACGCGUUAAGUUCUCCGCCUGGGGAGUACGCCGGCAACGGUA